AGAAGAAAGCUGAAGGAAAGGAAAAGCAGGCAACCUAAAAUUGCCUGAAAGUUCCAGCCUUGCUGAUUGCAGCCCAACACAAGGUAAGCUGCCAGAAACCUACAGCUUCCAAAUCCCAGGGUAAGAGGCCCCAGAACGCAAAGCCAGUGACCAAGACCUAGGCUCCCAACACAAGAAGCUUGGGUCAGUACCCUCUGUUCCCCAGCAGGAGAGCUCAAUCUCAUUAAAAGCCAGGGAAUAAGGAAACACCAUGAGUAAAAAGAAACGUACCAUAGACUCAUAUUAUGAGAAGAGUGAAGAUCAAGACAGAAAUUCUGAAGAGGACAACAUUGUCAACAAACCCACAUCUGCAACAACAAAAGGGAAUAUGAACUGGUCUGAAGCCCAAAAAGCCUUCUUAGAAGAGCUCAAGAAGGAUUUUAAUAGUCAAAUGAGAGAGAUAAAAGAGUCCUUCAAAAAUACAAUUGGCCAGUUGGAAAAAAAAUACACUGAAGAAAACAAGUCCCUAAAAAACACAAUUGGCCAAUUGAAGAAGGAAGGAGAAAAACUAACAGAAGGGUACACUGAAGAAAACAAAUCCCUAAAAAACACAAUUGGCCAGUUGAAGAAGGAAGUACAAAAUCUAACACAAGAGUAUGCUGAAGGAAACAAGUCCCUAAAAAACACAAUUGGCCAGUUGAAGAAGGAAGUACAAAAACUAACAGAAGAAAACAAUCUGUUAAAAACUAGAAUUGGACAAAUGGAAACUAAUGUCUCUAUGACAGAGCAAGAAUCAGUCAAACAGAAACAAAAAAAUGAAAAAAUUGAUGAAAAUGUAAAAUACCUCAUCAGUAAAACAACCGACCUGGAAAAUCGACUCAGGAGAGACAAUUUAAAAAUUAUUGGACUACCUGAAAAUCAUGAUGAAAAAAAGAGCCUGGACAGUAUCUUUCAGGAAAUCAUAAAGGAAAACUGCCCAGAAGUCCUAGAACCAGAAGGGAAAAUAACCAUAGAAAGAAUCCACCGAUCACCACCUGAAAGAGAUCCCAAAUUGACAAUGCCGAGAAAUAU
rnacentral:lncRNA from 1 species